GGUUAAAAAGCUCGUAGUUGGAUUUCUGUUGAGGGCGGCCGGUCCGCACUACGUGCGUGUAUCUGGUCUGGCCUCGGCAUCCUCUCGGAAAACACUACUGUGCUUGAUUGCAUGGUGUGGGGUUCGGGACUUUCACUUUGAGGAAAUUAGAGUGUUCACGGCAGGCAAUUGCCCUGAAUAUAUUAGCAUGGAAUAAUAAUAUAGGAUCUGAUGCCUAUUUUGUUGGUUUCUAGGUGUUAGAUAAUGAUUAAUAGGGACAAUUGGGGGCAUUCGUAUUACGGCGUCAGAGGUGGAAUUCUUGGAUUGCCGUACGACGAACUACUGCGAAAGCAUUUGCCAAGGAUGUUUUCAUUGAUCAAGAACGAAAGUAAGGGGAUCGAAGACGAUUAGAUACCGUCGUAGUCUUUACCAUAAACUAUGCCAACUAGAGAUGGGGCAUCGUUCAUUUAUGACUUGCUCCGCACCUUAUGAGAAAUCAAAGUCUUUGGGUUCCGGGGGGAGUGUGGU
rnacentral:rRNA from 1 species